rnacentral:rRNA from 1 species
AGAGUUUGAUCCUGGCUCAGGACGAACGCUGGCGGCGUGCCUAACACAUGCAAGUCGAGCGAUGAAGUUUCCUUCGGGAAAUGGAUUAGCGGCGGACGGGUGAGUAACACGUGGGUAACCUGCCUUAUAGUGGGGGAUAGCCUUUCGAAAGGAAGAUUAAUACCGCAUAAGAUUGUAGUAUCGCAUGAUAUAGCAAUUAAAGGAGCAAUUCGCUAUAAGAUGGACCCGCGUCGCAUUAGCUAGUUGGUGAGGUAAUGGCUCACCAAGGCGACGAUGCGUAGCCGACCUGAGAGGGUGAUCGGCCACAUUGGGACUGAGACACGGCCCAGACUCCUACGGGAGGCAGCAGUGGGGAAUAUUGCACAAUGGGCGAAAGCCUGAUGCAGCAACGCCGCGUGAGUGAUGACGGCCUUCGGGUUGUAAAACUCUGUCUUCAGGGACGAUAAUGACGGUACCUGAGGAGGAAGCCACGGCUAACUACGU